GCUUAGGCGCAAGACUCGCCUUAGAACCAAGACCCACGCCUGAUGGAACUUAACCAAUUGAAGGAUAACUUUGACAAUUGCCCUAAUAUUUUUUAAACCCUCUUUCGUUUUACCCCAAAUCUGUCCUCACCCCAUUAAUAAAAAGCCCUAACCUUGUUCGGCGGUGAAGAAUCGUCCACACUCCACAGUCAUGCUCCAUAGAACCUUGAGCUUUCUCCUCAACUCCUGGAGCUUUUUACUUCACUAAUCACUCUAACUCCGAAAAUUAUAACAGAAUCUUCAACCUAAUAUGGACUCUUGUAUAAAAGAUGAAUCCUAUUUAGUCAAUAAAUCUUAUAGAAAGAUUGAUUUGCCUCACCAGAAGGAGCGAUAUGCAAAUACUAAAACCAAAGUGUUAAAAUUAUUUUUUUCCUUUCUUUAGAAGUAACAAAGCUAUUGUUGAGACUUGAGAGAUGAUAUAGUUUUUGUGCAUUUCUGCUUUUUGUGGAAGAUGAGUGCCAUUUUUGCUCUUAACAAUGAUACCAAUGUAUCUCUGACCAAAUUCUUUUGUUUGCACCAAA